GACGUAGGGGGCGAGCGUUGUCCGGAUUUACUGGGCGUAAAGCGUGCGUAGGCGGUUCGUUAAGUCUGUCGUGAAAGCCCUGGGCUCAACCUGGGAAUUGCGAUGGAUACUGGCGGGCUAGAGUACGGUAGAGGAUGGUGGAAUUCCCGGUGUAGCGGUGAAAUGCGUAGAGAUCGGGAGGAACACCCGUGGCGAAGGCGGCCAUCUGGACCAGUACUGACGCUGAGGCACGAAAGCGUGGGGAGCAAAC
rnacentral:rRNA from 1 species